rnacentral:rRNA from 1 species
GACGAACGCUGGCGGCGUGCCUAAUACAUGCAAGUAGAACGCUGAAGGGAGAGCUUGCUCUUCUGGAUGAGUUGCGAACGGGUGAGUAACGCGUAGGUAACCUGCCUGGUAGCGGGGGAUAACUAUUGGAAACGAUAGCUAAUACCGCAUAGCAUUGACUAUUGCAUGAUAGUCAAUUGAAAGGUGCAAAUGUACCACUACCAGACGGACCUGCGUUGUAUUAGCUAGUUGGUGGGGUAACGGCUCACCAAGGCGACGAUACAUAGCCGACCUGAGAGGGUGAUCGGCCACACUGGGACUGAGACACGGCCCAGACUCCUACGGGAGGCAGCAGUAGGGAAUCUUCGGCAAUGGACGGAAGUCUGACCGAGCAACGCCGCGUGAGUGAAGGAGGUUUUCGGAUCGUAAAGCUCUGUUGUAAGAGAAGAACGAGUGUGAGAGUGAAAAGUUCACACUGUGACGG